rnacentral:lncRNA from 1 species
CGAUGUCAAGAUUCUUGACCACCUGUUGACAGCAGCUUCAGAGUCUGGAGGGUCCCAUGGUGCUCAAGGAGGAGCCAUUGAAGGAAAGAUGUUCAAGUGGGAAGAAUGGAGACACUCGUAAGGGUAAAGGGAGCUUCAGUCAGUCUACUUCUAAGUACCAGGAGAUGUUUUGUGUGGAGCACCCUGCUUGAGGUUGGCCUUGCAAGGAACUUCAGUCAAUAAGAAAAUAUCUAUGGCCAAUGAUUUGGGGUCAGCUGGUUCCUUCCAACGGCAUCAUAAGGAUGUGCCAAAACUCUACCUGUGUAGUCUGUCCUGAAGAGCCCAGUGCAGAGCAGGUCUCUAAGUACAGUGUAAACAGUGGUCCUGCCUCACCCUGGGUUAAGGACAGAUGCACAGAUGCAUGGGGAAUGGCUGGGAAAUGUCUUCCUGGAUUCCCCCAUAAGUCAUUCAUUCUCUAUGACGUCUACUGGUUUUGGAAAUAUAAAGAGCACACAAAUGAAAGGAGAGGGAACCAGUCAGAGAAAGAGAAAAAUGGAGGGUCUGAGUUCUUGCCACUUCCUACAGAGAUGGCUGGUUCAGUAUUCCCCCGUGCCUGCUACACUCCCUGGGCUUCAGCCUCCACUUUAAUGCAUAAUUUAUGGAUGCAAUUAACAGAAACCAAUCAACCAAGACUGUGCACACAGUACUGUGUUUAACAACAGAUGCCUCCAAUAGUGAUUAUGUUAGAAUAAUAACAACACUGAAAACACGCCCGGUCAUCAGGACUGUGUUGCCAAAGCUAACAAGACUGAUGGUUUUACCAAUAAAAAAGCCAGCGAGCGAGCCUGGGAGGAGGAUUCUGGGUGCUGUGGCUGCCGCUUGUUU